CGGCGGGUGAGCAAUGUCUGGGAAACUGCCCGAUGGAGGGGGAUAACUACUGGAAACGGUAGCUAAUACCGCAUAACGUCGCAAGACCAAAGAGGGGGACCUUAGGGCCUCUUGCCAUCGGAUGUGCCCAGAUGGGAUUAGCUAGUAGGUGGGGUAACGGCUCACCUAGGCGACGAUCCCUAGCUGGUCUGAGAGGAUGACCAGCCACACUGGAACUGAGACACGGUCCAG
rnacentral:rRNA from 1 species